rnacentral:lncRNA from 10 species
UUUAUUUCUACAAGAAGAGCUGGUCAGGGAGAAGAGGCCAUGUUUGAUCUGGGCCCUGAAGUAUAUAAGUAGGAAUUUGCAAGAUGGAUGAGGUAGAAAAUGGUAUUUCAUAUUGUGGAAUAAACAGAGGGAAGAGCCAUUUGUCUUAUCCCCAACUCCAGAACUCUACUACUCAUGGAGUCUGACACAAACAAUGUUAAUAAUCUGUUUUAUUUCUCAUUAUAGGGCACUGGAAUUGGCUGUAAAAUACAAAACACAUGUUGAUACAGUUCUUGCUUACCGUCAAAAGUUUUUGGAGACAUUUGGUAAACAGGAAACUAAUAAACGAUACUUGCAUUAUGCAGAAGGUCUCCAAAUAGAUUGGGAGAAAAUCAAAGCCAAAAUUGAGAUGGAAAUUACAAAAGAAAGAGAGCAAUCAUCAAGCAGCCAAUCCAGCAAGAGUAUAGGUUUAAAGCCCUAAAUGCCAUGCGUAUCUUUAAGAAAUUUUAUCUUUUGAAACACGUUCUGAUUAACCAAGGGUAAGCAUGUUUUGGUUGCUAAAGAAAAAAGCAUAAUCUUUAACCGAGUAUAAGUACUUGCUGU